rnacentral:rRNA from 1 species
AUUCUACAUACAUAAGCGGAGGAAAAGAAACUAACAAGGAUUCCCUAGUAACUGCGAGUGAAGCGGGAAAAGCUCAAAUUUAAAAUCUGGCGGUCUCUGGCCGUCCGAGUUGUAAUCUAGAGAAGUAAUGCCCGUGCUGGACCGUGUAUAAGUCUCCUGGGAUGGGGCGUCAUAGAGGGUGAGAAUCCCGUCUUUGACACGGACUACCAGUGCRUUGUGGUAUGCUCUCAAAGAGUCGAGUUGUUUGGGAAUGCAGCUCAAAAUGGGUGGUAAAUUCCAUCUAAAGCUAAAUAUUGGCGAGAGACCGAUAGCGAACAAGUACCGUGAGGGAAAGAUGAAAAGAACUUUGGAAAGAGAGUUAAACAGUACGUGAAAUUGCUGAAAGGGAAACGCUUGAAGUCAGUCGCGUUGGCCGGGGAUCAGCCUUGCUUUUGCAUGGUGUACUUUCUGGUUGACGGGUCAGCAUCAAUUUUGACCGCUGGAAAAAGACCUGGGGAAUGUGGCAGCUUCGGCUGUGUUAUAGCCCCUAGUCGCAUACAGUGGUUGGGAUUGAGGAACUCAGCACGCCGCAAGGCCGGGUUUCGACCACGUUCGUGCUUAGGAUGCUGGCAUAAUGGCUUUAAGCGACCCGUCUUGAAACACGGACCAAGGAGUCUAACAUGCCUGCGAGUAUUUGGGUGGAAAACCCAAGUGCGUAAUGAAAGUGAAAGUUGAGAUCCCUGUCGUGGGGAGCAUCGACGCCCGGACCAGAACUUUUGGGACGGAUCCGCGGUGGAGCAUGUAUGUUGGGACCCGAAAGAUGGUGAACUAUGCCUGAAUAGGGUGAAGCCAGAGGAAACUCUGGUGGAGGCUCGUAGCGAUUCUGACGUGCAAAUCGAUCGUCAAAUUUGGGUAUAGGGGCGAAAGACUAAUCGAACCAUCAUGCUA